rfam:Schistosoma mansoni strain Puerto Rico chromosome 2, complete genome
AUCCAACUGACGAGUCCCAAGUAGGAUGAAACGCGCCUUAUCCUGGAU